GUCUGGGCCAACAAGGCCUCAAAAUGAUACCCAUAAGACAACAUGUACAUAACAAAGUGUAAGAGAAGAACCACCUAAACAUAUACGUAUAUGUAAGGUCGACAAGGCCACAAUAUAUAUCAACUGACCAACAGGAUGGCCGGCAAGGCCAUGCAAAAUAGCUGUACAUACGACCCAAGCCUACAAGCCUCUAGGAGUAGCAUAACUUAGAGAAGAUCGGGACAGGACCCCGUCAUACCCAAAACAAAAUGCAUAUAUACAUAAGCAGCACAGCCUACCUCUCUAUAGCAACUCCAGGAGAAGUGGCGUGCGUCGAUCAACCAUAGAACUGGACAACCUACUGGGGAGGUUCGUCGGCCUAUCUACCCAACCUGCGGGCAUAAGACACGGCAUAAGACACAGUGCCCCAGCAAAGGGAUGUCGGUACGAAAGAAUGUACUAACAUGUAAGGCAGAUAAAAUAUAUAUAGAAAUGUAACUCAAGGGAAAGACAGUAAGGGUCAACCUGGGACAACCCAACCAACGCAUCUUGUCUAGUGCCUCAACCUAUAAUGACGACAACGCUUCCGUUAAGCUAAGAAAAUACUGGUAUAUCAUGUAUUUUGAGCGACAAGCUUAUUUUAUAAUGAAUCAGACUCCCCUAUUUCUUCCAACUUCCACAAGUACAAGAACAACAACAAUCAUCUUAAAUUCACCAAUUUCAAUCAUCAAACAAUUUAGAAUAGCUAUCAAACAGCCCACACGAUAAUAACAACAUCAAAAUACGAUUUCCCAUUAUUAAUUUUGUAUUUCUCAUCCCAUAAUUUAACUACGACCUGGACGAACUUAAAUAUAUCUGGGAGAGGAGAAUUCUUAUCUUAUAUGCCAAGAACUACUCUCCUUCUACCUUACUUCACUUGGAAGAAAUCUCUGAUUUGCUAUCCCCUAAAGGAAACCGACGUGGGUAUAAUCGUUAUGCUUCUUCGUGUUCGCCUUAGUCGUAGGACUUAGUAUCUUUUUGUUGAGAAGAAAUGUAAUUUAUCUUCUAAAAAAUACAGAAAACGUUGCUGCACACCACGGAAAUUAUGUUGCUGCCCAUAUUUUCCUAAAGAAAAUUAUCUCCACUUUAAGAUGUUAAGAAAAUGUAUAUAGUGUGUCUCUAUGUAUAUAUAAUACU
rnacentral:lncRNA from 1 species